rnacentral:rRNA from 1 species
AGAGUUUGAUCCUGGCUCAGGACGAACGCUGGCGGCGUGCUUAACACAUGCAAGUCGAGCGGUAAGGCCCUUUCGGGGGUACACGAGCGGCGAACGGGUGAGUAACACGUGAGCAAUCUGCCCUUCACUUUGGGAUAACUACCGGAAACGGUGGCUAAUACCGAAUACGACCAUCGGUUGCAUGACCUGGUGGUGGAAAGUUCUGGCGGUGGAGGAUGAGCUCGCGGCCUAUCAGCUUGUUGGUGGGGUAAUGGCCUACCAAGGCGACGACGGGUAGCCGGCCUGAGAGGGUGACCGGCCACACUGGGACUGAGACACGGCCCAGACUCCUACGGGAGGCAGCAGUGGGGAAUAUUGGACAAUGGGCGAAAGCCUGAUCCAGCAACGCCGCGUGAGGGAUGACGGCCUUCGGGUUGUAAACCUCUUUCAGCAGGGACGAAGCGCAAGUGACGGUACCUGCAGAAGAAGCACCGGCCAACUACGUGCCAGCAGCCGCGGUAAUACGUAGGGUGCGAGCGUUGUCCGGAAUUAUUGGGCGUAAAGGGCUCGUAGGCGGUUUGUCACGUCGGGAGUGAAAACUCGGGGCUUAACCCCGAGCCUGCUUCCGAUACGGUCUGACUAGAGGUAUGCAGGGGAGAACGGAAUUCCUGGUGUAGCGGUGAAAUGCGCAGAUAUCAGGAGGAACACCGGUGGCGAAGGCGGUUCUCUGGGCAUUACCUGACGCUGAGGAGCGAAAGUGUGGGGAGCGAACAGGAUUAGAUACCCUGGUAGUCCACACCGUAAACGUUGGGCGCUAGGUGUGGGACUCAUUCCACGAGUUCCGUGCCGCAGCUAACGCAUUAAGCGCCCCGCCUGGGGAGUACGGCCGCAAGGCUAAAACUCAAAGGAAUUGACGG